UACGUAGGUGUCAAGCGUUGUCCGGAUUUAUUGGGCGUAAAGCGCCCGCAGGCGGCUUGCCAAGUUCGAUGUGAAAUCUCCCGGCUCAACUGGGAGGGUGCAUCGAAAACUGGCAGGCUUGAGGCAGGGAGAGGGAUGUGGAAUUCCAGGUGUAGUGGUGAAAUGCGCAGAUAUCAGGAGGAACACCGGUGGCGAAGGCGGCCAACUGGGCCGACCCUGACGCUGAGGCGCGAAGGCGUGGGGAGCGAACGGG
rnacentral:rRNA from 1 species